rnacentral:lncRNA from 1 species
CGGGGAUCCCCCCCCCUCCAGCUGAAGGGUGAUGGGGCCCGUUCGGCCCGGCGGGACCUGCAAAGUGUAGCUGUCUGAGCUGCCACAGGAGUUUCCCUUUUGCUCCCACAGGUCUGUACUUGGGAAACCAAGGAGUUUAAACAGACCAUCUCCAGCGUUGACCAAGGGACCGCAGAAGGUUCUUUCUGGACACUGAAAACAUGUCUCACCCGUUCCCCACCCCAUUUCUCAAAAAGCCUCAGCGCUGGAUUGAAAAGCACGUAUUGCAACAGGAUGAUUGAGGGAAGGGCCCGGGGCCUCCCCGGUGGAUGCGUGCAAAGCAUUUGACCGGGGAGCGGGGAGUAACAUAACAAAGCCAGAGCAGAAGAAUCCUCGUGGUCAAGAAGACCUGGGUUCAAAUCCCAGCUCUGUCUCUUCUGGUCGUUUGACUUUGGGGACAUGAAUCAAUGUCUUUGAACCUCAGUGUCCUCACCGGUAAGAGAUCAUGAUUCUCAUGGGUCUGUUGUCAGGUU